rnacentral:rRNA from 1 species
GACGAACGCUGGCGGCGUGCUUAACACAUGCAAGUCGAACGGAAAGGCCCUGCUUUUGUGGGGUGCUCGAGUGGCGAACGGGUGAGUAACACGUGAGUAACCUGCCCUUGACUUUGGGAUAACUUCAGGAAACUGGGGCUAAUACCGGAUAGGAGCUCCUGCUGCAUGGUGGGGGUUGGAAAGUUUCGGCGGUUGGGGAUGGACUCGCGGCUUAUCAGCUUGUUGGUGGGGUAGUGGCUUACCAAGGCUUUGACGGGUAGCCGGCCUGAGAGGGUGACCGGCCACAUUGGGACUGAGAUACGGCCCAGACUCCUAAGGGGGGCAGCAGUGGGGAAUAUUGCACAAUGGGCGGAAGCCUGAUGCAGCAACGCCGCGUGCGGGAUGACGGCCUUCGGGUUGUAAACCGCUUUCGCCUGUGACGAAGCGUGAGUGACGGUAAUGGGUAAAGAAGCACCGGCUAACUACGUG